AUAUCAAUAAGCGGAGGAAAAGAAACUAACAAGGAUUCCCCUAGUAACUGCGAGUGAAGCGGGAAGAGCUCAAAUUUAAAAUCUGGCGGCUUUUAGUCGUCCGAGUUGUAACCUGGAGAGGCAUUUUCCGCGUUGGACCGUGUACAAGUCUCCUGGAAUGGAGCGUCAUAGAGGGUGAGAAUCCCGUCCAUGACACGGACUACCAAUGCUUUGUGAUAUGCUUUCGAAGAGUCGCGUUGUUUGGGAAUGCAGCGCAAAAUGGGUGGUAAAUUCCAUCUAAAGCUAAAUAUUGGCGAGAGACCGAUAGCGAACAAGUACCGUGAGGGAAAGAUGAAAAGCACUUUGAAAAGAGAGUUAAACAGUACGUGAAAUUGUUGAAAGGGAAACGCUUGAAGUCAGUCGCGUUCCGUGGAACUCAGCCUUACUUCGGUUUGGUGUACUUUCUAUGUGAACGGGUCAACAUCAAUUUUGGCCGGUGGACAAAGGCAAGGGGAAUGUAGCGUUGCUUCGGUGACGUGUUAUAGCCCCUUGUUGUAUACACCGGCUGAGAUUGAGGAUCGCAGCACGCCCUUGUGGCCGGGGGUUCGCCCCACGUACCGUGCUUAGGAUGUUGGCAUAAUGGCUUUAAGCGACCCGUCUUGAAACACGGACCAAGGAGUCUAACAUGCUUGCGAGUGUUCGGGUGGAAAACCCUUGCGCGUAAUGAAAGUGAAAGUUAGGAACCUUUUCGCAAGAGAGGGUGCACUGACGCCCGGCCCUGACGUUCUCUGACGGUGCUGCGGUAGAGCAAGUAUGUUGGGACCCGAAAGAUGGUGAACUAUGCCUGAAUAGGGCGAAGCCAGAGGAAACUCUGGUGGAGGCUCGUAGCGAUUCUGACGUGCAAAUCGAUCGUCAAAUUUGGGUAUAGGGGCGAAAGACUAAUCGAACCAUCUAGUAGCUGGUUCCUG
rnacentral:rRNA from 1 species